UCCAUUGUAGUCUAGUUGGUCAGGAUAUUUGGCUUUCACCCGAAAGACCCGGGUUCUAAUCUCGGCAACGGAA